rnacentral:precursor_RNA from 10 species
GUCUCCGCACCUCAGUUUCUUUUAUCCGUUCGACCUGAAAUGUUGUCUCAGACCUCGAAUGGCAAAGGUGAGCAAGGUUUCAGGUUGUCCGAAACGAAACCAACCGUUUCCGAAUCGAU